rnacentral:lncRNA from 1 species
CUGUCGAUAGGAAAGGUUGAUUUUGUCCUUGCUGUGGAUGCUGAAAUCUAUGUUGCAUAGAACCUUGCUGAAACUGUGUCAUGGAAGGCUGAUUAUUAACCAAUGUGGUUUGAUGUAUAGCUAACCUUGACCUUCCUGUACCCUCCCCAUCAUCCCAGGCUGGAUCUUAUUUUGCGAGAGAGAUGAUGGUCCAGGAUAAGG